rnacentral:misc_RNA from 1 species
GAUGAAGAACGUAGCGAAAUGCGAUAAGUAAUGUGAAUUGCAGAAUUCAGUGAAUCAUCGAAUCUUUGAACGCACAUUGCGCCCGCCAGCAUUCUGGCGGGCAUGCCUGUUCGAGCGUCAUUUCAACCCUCGACUUCCCUUUGGGGAAAUCGGCGUUGGGGACUGGCAGCAUACCGCCGGCCCCGAAAUGGAGUGGCGGCCCGUCCGCGGCGACCUCUGCGUAGUAAUCCAACCUCGCACCGGAACCCCGACGUGGCCACGCCGUAAAACACCCCACUUUCUGAACGUUGACCUCGGAUCAGGUAGGAAUACCCGCUGAACUUAAGCAUAUCAAUAAGCGAAGGA